GAUCAUGGCUCAGAUUGAACGCUGGCGGCAUGCCUUACACAUGCAAGUCGAACGGCAGCACGGGAGCUUGCUCCUGGUGGCGAGUGGCGAACGGGUGAGUAAUACAUCGGAACGUACCCUGAAGUGGGGGAUAACGUAGCGAAAGUUACGCUAAUACCGCAUAUUCUGUGAGCAGGAAAGAGGGGGAUCGCAAGACCUCUUGCUUUAGGAGCGGCCGAUGUCGGAUUAGCUAGUUGGUGAGGUAAAGGCUCACCAAGGCGACGAUCCGUAGCGGGUCUGAGAGGAUGAUCCGCCACACUGGGACUGAGACACGGCCCAGACUCCUACGGGAGGCAGCAGUGGGGAAUUUUGGACAAUGGGCGCAAGCCUGAUCCAGCCAUGCCGCGUGAGUGAAGAAGGCCUUCGGGUUGUAAAGCUCUUUCGGUGGGGAAGAAAUUGCUUCGGUUAAUACCUGGAGUAGAUGACGGUACCCGCAUAAGAAGCACCGGCUAACUACGUG
rnacentral:rRNA from 1 species